GCGAGCGUUGGCGCAUCAGUGAAGACAGGGUUUCCCACUUCUGUUCCUUUGGCUGGGUUAUACUACCUGGGUGGGAACUUUGAAUUGCAAAAGCAAAAGAACGCUUGAAUAGGAAAACUUGAUUCUUUCUCUAGAGACAGCAGUGCACAGGGAUGGGCGUCAUCUUGUGGGAAUGUCAGUUUCCUGGGCACCCACUUCUAUCAACUGCACCUCAGUGGUACGAAGAAACAGGGCUAGGAGACUCGGCAUGAGAGUGACAUCCUUCUAGAAACCUUUUAAAAGCCUGGGUUCAUAUCUGAUUGAGAGAAUACAUUUGGUUUGUAAAUUAAGGUUUUACCAUGUGGAUAGCUCACUUACGCAGCAGUUUCUAGGAGCGCCUAAGCAUGCUUUCAAGAAGGAGUUCUUGGGCUGGAGAGAUGGAUCAGUGGCUACUGGUACAUCCAAGCCUGAUGACCUGAAUUUGAUUCCUGGGACUCACAUGGUAGAAGCAGAGAACCAACUCUCAACAUUGUCGCCUGACCUCUGCGUGUACACCUCCCUCUGUCACAAACGUGACAUCUCUAGGAGCCUUAAUAAGGCAUCUUGCUGCAUGCUUUCUCUUCAUAUGAACUAUGGAUUUCACAAAUUGCAUGAGAACACCUUCUGUGUACAGGACUGAUCUGUACCUUGCCUUUCAGUUCCCUUUAAGGUACACCAAGGACUGUCAGUGUAACUCAGAAGUACUUGAAUAUAAACAAAGGUGAAACAUCUUGGACUCCUACUUUCAGUUUUGGGAAUCUCUACAAUUUGUUAAUUAUUUCCUUCACAUUGACUGAAACUCCCAAUAUUGGAUUAAGCAGGAAAAAGUAUAUAUGAAAAACUCCAGUUUUUUUUUUUUUUUAAUCAGGAAGGAGAAUUAAAAUAUAAAUGGAGAAGUGAAUCUUCUGUGAGCUAAUGACAUCCAUCUUAAAAUGCAGAGGGAAGCUCUCAUUGGAAUUGGCUAGCUUGGGUUGCUUUCAGCUACAGCAUGUUUCCAUUCAUCAGUAGAAGAACGUAACUCUUUGUUUAAUGUAAUUACAUCCUGAAGCCUGGCAAAUUACUUACACUGUUAAGGCAUUGUACUUCCUGUGUUAGGGGAGUUGCUGCCAUUGACAUUGAUUGACAACUACUGUUAAUCCUGUAGACAGUUAAAUACAGCAGGCGUCUGGAUUGUUGAGGCUUUGCAUUAUGAUGGUAUAUGGUUAAGAUCUUUGUAUUGAGACAAUCUUUUUGUCUUAUAAUGACAGUCACAGAUCGCUCUGAUGUCUGUGAAGUAAAUAAAUAUUCCAUUUAACAGCC